GUGCACCAGUCGAGAAAACUUCACACUGUGCGAAAGCACGAUGAGGGAAUCCCAAGUGCUUGCACGUAAGUGUAAGCUGUUUCUCUGUCUAAAACGCAGAGAGAGUAAGGGCUGGGUAAGACGGGUGCCAGCCGCCGCGGUAAUACCUGCAGCUCAAGUGGUGACCGUUAUUAUUGGGCCUAAAACGUCCGUAGCCGGUUUAAUAAAUGCCUGGGUAAAUUGUGUAGCUUAACUAUACGAAUUCCGGGUAGACUGUUAAACUUGAGACCGGGAGAAGUUAAAGGUACUCCUGGGGUAGAGGUGAAAUUCUGUAAUCCUAGGGGGACCACCAGUGGCGAAGGCGUCUAACUAGAACGGGUCUGACGGUGAGGGACGAAGCCCUGGGGCGC
rnacentral:rRNA from 1 species